GAAGCCGAGGGAAGGGGAGGAGUUUCUCCAGCUCCGGUCUUUAAUGCCAGCAGCGAGGUGUCAGGGGGGACCUUCGCAGGAGCAUGAGAUGCCCUUACAGACGCUGCUCCCUUUCUCACUCUUCCGCCCUUUCAAAAAUAUCCGGAGCAUCCUGGGGGAGGGGGGGAGAAAGUUUCCUUCCCCUUGCCCAGCUCGGCCACACUCUCACCGAAAGAGAGAGAAAAAAAAAAAAAUAAAAAAACAAUCCCCCAAACACUCAAAGGCUACAAAACCCGAAAAGGGGAAGCGCUCGGGCGACGCUCCUGGCGGACUGGGGAGUCCCGCGGGGAGGGAGGGAGGGAGCGAAGGGGGGGCAGGAGGAUGGGAGGAGGUGCCCGGGCUCUCCGAGAGCCCCAGCAGGAUCCCCAGGAGCUGCGAAACGAGCACCACGCAACUUUCCCGCAGUCCGGCCGCUUCCCCCCGGCUGCCGCCCGCCCCGGGCCGCGCCGCCGGCCCCUCGGCGCGGGGAGAGCGGCUGGGGCUGUGCCUGCAUUCCCCGGGCUGCCGGAGCACGGAGGUUCCUACAGACUGUCAUGGAAGGAAACAGACCCAGAAAUGAAACAGGGACCAAUAUCACUGACACCAGCUCAGGAAGGGAUGUGGACAGAUCUUGCCCAUCUUGACAACUGAUCCUGGGUAUCAAAAAGUUUCAGAAGUCUUCAUUCAAAAUGAGCAGGCCCAUGGAAUGGGUUUAUUUGGUACACAGAAGGCCGUGGCAUGGACACUGGAGCAAGGAUUGGCAGGAGGCUCCACGUUUGGCAGCUGCAGUGCUUGUCUCACCGUGUCCCAUCUUCAUGGCUCCAGAACCACAAUCCCCACGAGGCUGCCCUCAUGCUGCACAGCACUGACCCCACAGGAAAUGCAGGCACAGGGAAUCAGAGGGUGCAUGGUGCUGUGACCUGAACCCCACUGUGUGGUGGCAUUAGUGCCAGCACUGUUCUGCAGACUGUGUCCACAGCUAAGUUCUGUUUUUCAUUUGUAUCACUUCACUGUAAGAGUAAAAUAUGAAUAAUACUCUCUGUCAUCUGUGCUAGAAAGCAUCUGGGAGACCUGACUAGGUACAAACAUGGAAAACACAUUUUCUUGUUUGAACCACAACACAUUGAUAAAAAACUUUGAGGCUGAUUUUCAAAGUUCACACAAUCUCUGCUGGUUCUGAGAGCCAGGAGAGCCUUCCAAAGAUUGAAGUACUUCAUGAGACAUUAUCUUUUUAUAUUGGUUUCUAUAUAUAAAAAAAUUUCCAUUAACUGUAAUGAUGCUGUUCAGCCUCAAGUAUUCUUAGUACUUAAGAGUCAUGAAGAAGCAAUGAAAAAUACUUUUUAAAGUAGCUAAUUUCCUCCUUACUGAUACAGGAAAAUUUCUUUUGUGUUUUCUACUGAUUGUGAGUCAGAAUUUCUGGCUGUUAGCCAAACACAAUACUUGGAACCUCUGAUUUGCAUAUGUAGGCCUACAAGUUAGACAGAUAACCUCAAUCAAAAUUUAACAGAUUAUAUGCAAAACCAGUGAGAAAAGAUUCAUUUCCCAUAUUGAGUGAUUUUUGUCAGUUGUGCAAAUUAACACAGAGAAUUACAGAUAGAAUUCAAGAGGAGUCUGCUUUUCAUUUGCUUUUCCAAUAAUAUGCAUAAUGCAGUACAUUAGCUAAAAGAAUGUUUAAAGGAGGCAGAGACAUGGUUCUACCAGGUAUGUGUGGGCAUAAGAACAAAAAGUGUUUUCAGCAGCAUGAAUCUGAAAGUACUUCCAUGUUCUUCCCAGUUCACUGUGAAGAUUUCAGAGAGCUGAAGAAUUACAAACACACUUUCUGUGAGCCUUCUCUGUGUGAUAAUAUCAAUUUAUUCCUUGGCAUGGAGUGUGCUUGGCUUCAGACAGGACAGUGGGCAGGAACAGCAUUUUCCUUCUGGAGUGGAGGGGGUGAGACUGCUCCAAACCAACAGUCUGUCAUUGCUUGGUGGUGCAGAUGCAAAAAGAGGUGAGCUUUCCAAAGCAAUCAUAAGCAGUCGAUUCCAGGAUGGUCUGUAAGAUCUCAAAGAAAAUAAAUUUUGCAUAAUUAGCUUCAAUUUUGUUAUGCUGCAAGGUACUGGUGGCACAGUGUCCCAGAACACACCUGUAGCAGUGUUCUCCACUUGACCUCCAGCCAAAGCCAGUGGCAAGAUUCCCUUUAGGGAGGGCAAAAUUGCAACAAUUGUGAAACAAUCCAAAUAUCUUCUUUCACCUGGUAGUAACUAAUAAUAGGAGAGCCCUAGAAAUCCCAUUAUAUGUGAAGAAUCAAUGAGAAGGUGAUAGUUUAUGGGUGAGACAGAGGACUGAAUAAGAUCAGGAAGAAAGAGCAGAAUUAUAUAAAACCUGCACAAUAUGAUAUAAAUUAAUGUGAAUUAUAUAAAACCUCUGCACAAUGGCUUCCAAAGGAUCAGAAUGCACUGAAACUUUUCUUGGCUACACCUUGGUAUCCAGGACCUGUGGAUAUCACAAUGUGUGCAACAAGAACCAAACAUCUGAAAGGAUGAGAGGUGAAUGGCAACUCCUGCUUGUUUUCAUAAAUGAAUUGUAUUUCUCUUGUACUGAGAGCACAGUCUUAACUAGGCUUGUCUGCAACAGUGCAAACAUCUUAUUUGAUCCCAGGUAUCUAAUCUAUGUAAUUGAGGUGCUGCAGGAUUUGUUUUUCUGCUUCUCCAUGUGUGAUGGGCACAGACAAGCAUGAUGAGCAGGUCUUCAGUGUGAAUUCAUGCAGAGCCAAGAUGACAUCUCCCCAGGACAAAAGGUGACGUGUAGGAAAGGUGGCUCAGAACUGUCAUCUCCACCAGCAAACCAGAGCACCAGAGCACAGGCCUGAGCAGUGUCCUGGACCUGUCCUAAUUGUUGAACUGUUCUCAGUCCCUGCAGAGCUUUGGCUCAGGCUGUCUGCAGCUCUCCAAGAGCCAAGGCAUGGUUCAGGAAUUAACACCAGUCAGGGAGCAUUGCCAGGAGGAAGCCUGGUCAUGGCUGCCCUGUCUGACAGGUGAGAGUUUUCCUAAAAGCCUUGCUGUACCAUCUGAGAUCUGCAGCUCAGACCUGUGCCAAGAGGAUGGAAAUGUCAGAUCCUGGCUUCCCAGCAUGCCUGGGCUCUCUGAAAACUAAACUACAGUUGUUCCUCAGUCUUUUCAAUGCUUGUCAGCAGACCACUUCCAUAGGAGGAGACCAACACAGUUCCCUCUAUACUGCUCCUGCUUUGGCAGAAAAUGAGCUGUACAAGGAGGAAUCUCAGAUGUGCAGUGAUGAAGGUAACAAGGGUCAUGAUUAUUGGCAAAUCAUUCUGACACAUUAAUGGUGAGGGAUUUAUCCAGUUAAAGACUGCAGAUUGUACAUUACCAUAGCAUUGAGUAAUUACAAAAUAAGUAUAUAUAUAUAUAUAUAUAACAUAGCAAGUGCAGAUUUAACAAAUUUAACAAAUGCAGUCAGAUUCUAAAGCCAGGAGAAUCUGACUAACAGUGUUAGAAAAUGGUGAAAAUGUCCAUAAGGAAAGGUUUAUGAUAACAAAAUUUCAAGUCAGGAAGAACUUUUGUUUCAAAAUAUCUCAAAAUAAUUUUAUUUUUAUUAUUUUUCUUAAGAAGAGGGUCUAAAAUCUUAUCAGAAGAGCUUUGGAAGCAACAAACAUCUAAAAAUGACCCUAGAAUAUAGAAGUGGUCCCCACAAUGAAUCCAAAGAGUUCCCAAAAAUAGUUAAUGUAAUUCAGUGUAGCUUCAUUAAGAUUAUUAUUUUGUUCUCAUCUAAAAUUUUGAUUAUGUCUUAUUAUGCAAAGUACCUGGACUUUAGAGUCUUUAAAUGAAAAAUUGCAAAGUAACAUUAAAGAGAUGUGCAAGCUCAGGGAAACGAUUGAAAAAAUCAUAAAGUCCUGUAUCAGGUGAGAUGCAAUUGAUUUCUGUUUCUGCAAGCACCUCUGUAAGCUUCAUGGAUGACAGAAAGGGUAUAAUCUUGACUUUAUGGUCUUCUAACUAAACACAAAUGUAUUUUAUUUCCUGGUGUGCAUAAAAAACGUGGGUGGGAAAUGUGGGAGGCUCUCUUAAGCUGAGUGAAAUAUGUUCUUUAUGCCCAGCAUUACUGUGGUCACUCAAAACCCAUUUCCACUGGGAGCUGACCAUGAGCUGAGUGGUCCCAAGAGCCUCAGUGCUACACUCCAUGGGUUUUGCUAAGAUGCUUUGGGACCACAACAGCUUGAGGGAAAGGAGGGGACAGGAGUCAUCCUCCUGUCAAAUUUCCUCAUGCCCAUCCACACUGCUCCUGAUGGCACGAGGCUCAUCAUGUGGAAGAUAUUUUUAUUGCACAGUAGUAAGCUUCACUGAGCAUUAUUCUACUAUCUGAAAUAAUGAAAUUAUCAGUUAUUCCAGAUUAUCAGUGAUGAAUAUCUGAGCUGGUGUUUAAUAUCUAGAAGAUUAUAAUGACAAGCAUUUUGUGUCUGGGAGCUUCAAAUCAGGACUGUAACACAUUUGUAUUUUGACUGCAUAUACUACAACAGUAAUUAAAUUAUGUAUAACUAAUUAAGACUAUAGGAGGACCACCCAUAUGUAAACCCCACCAUAAACAGGUCUAAUUUUAUACCAUAUUAAUAUGGUAUAUAUAUAUAUAUAUACAUAUAUCUGCUGAUAUGCAGGCAUAAACAUAUGUGGCACAUAUAUCUCAAACCAGUCUCGAGCAUUCCAUAUGAAAUUUGCUGGAAGUAGGCCAUUAAUUACUAAAGCUGAGGCUAAUCCUGCAAUCUUAUCAUAACAGAAGUUUUGUUUUCAUCAGGCCUUCAGGAUCCAUAUUCAACAAAUAUUAUUUCACUGCCAAAAUAAAAUAUAAAAUACUUGGUACAACGUGGUUGAUUUAAUGGAAUAAUCGAAUGUCACUCUUGGGCCGUUAAUACUCAGAAUUUACUUUUUGGUGUUUGGAAAAUAUUUAUGCUAUAUGUGAGGUUUGCUGUCAUUCAGCUCAUCAGCAAGACUUCCACUCCUGGGAGUGGAAACUCCAUUUAUUUUAAGGUUUUUGAAGAUAAAGGAACAACUUUUGCCAUUCAUGUCUGCAGAAUCUGACAGUAAUCCCUCAGCAAAAGGCUUAGUCCCACCAGAGCACCCAUGUCCCAUAAAAUUAGGGCAAAUUCAGGAAAAAUAUUUUUUGUGCAUUCUGCUCAUUAACACUAAAAGAGAAGCUGAGGGAAUCCCAAUACCCAGACAAGUACACAUCAAAGGUCACACAAAUAUUUAUCACCAAAUCACACAAAAAAUUAAAGCUGCAAUGGUAAAGUUGAGUGGAUGAUACAAUUUUCUUAUCCAUAAAAAAUUAUGUUCCUCAUUAAUUCUUUUCACAGUAAAGCUGUUUCAUUAUUUAUCCUCUGGGUAAGCAAUUAGUAGCAAUGUUGCUCCUGGGUAGUAUGUGCUGAAUUUCUCUUUAAUAUCUGCUAUGAGAGACUACAUAUUUCAGGCUGCAAAAGUAAAAUUAAAAGAAAGUCCCAAAACUGAAGAGUUGCUCUAAGCAAAUAAAUAGCUCUUGGUUUCAAAGGAGUGCUGGGCAGGAGGAAACAUGUACUUUUUCCUUGAAGAAAACUGGAGAGCACUGGAAUUACAGAUUUAUAAGCUCUUUCAAAAAACAUCAGCCUGACUCUGAGAGUGUUCUCUGCCAAAUCAAUUUAGCUAAAAUUUAAAAUUGCUGUAAGAAAAAACUUUUAAAAAAUCCCUGUAAUGAAAACAUUUAGAAUUGGAAGAGGUUUCUUAUGGAUAAGAGCAAGUAAGUUCUGGAAUAGAUUUCCAAAGAGAAACAGGGGCAAAAAAGAUAAUGGCCAUAUAUUAACAAAAGGGAUUAUAUUCAGUAUGAUAAUAGGGUUAAUAACAGGUGAUUGGAAUAUGUUCCCACCCAAAAUGUAAAUGUUAAUCUGAGAAUUAGGCCAAAUGAGGUAUGACUACUAAAAGAUUGGUGUCUAAUUCUCAGCUGGAUACCAGGGCUGGGUCUGCCCUGUCCUUACAUUGUUUAAAUAUCAACCCCCAGCUUAACUCA